UCUAGCGGCAGAAGCAGCUGCGCCGGUGCUGUGUGCAGGUCUCCUCGGCGGGUGCGCGUGGUCGGGACAGCUGCCGCUGGUCGCCUCUGAGUCAGGACGAGUCCGGUUCGUGUCCGUGCGCGGAGUUCUCUCUCAUCUCGCUCGGCUGCGGGAAAUCGGGCUGAAGCGACUGAGUCCGCGAUGGAGAAAACUUUAGAAACUGUUCCUUUGGAGAGGAAAAAGAGAGAAAAGGAACAGUUCCGUAAACUCUUCAUUGGUGGCUUAAGCUUUGAAACCACUGAAGAAAGUUUGAGAAACUACUACGAGCAAUGGGGAAAGCUCACAGACUGUGUGGUAAUGAGGGAUCCUGCAAGCAAAAGGUCAAGAGGAUUUGGUUUUGUAACAUUCUCAUCCAUGGCUGAGGUAGAUGCUGCCAUGGCUGCAAGGCCUCAUUCGAUUGAUGGGAGAGUAGUUGAGCCAAAACGCGCGGUAGCCAGAGAGGAGUCUGGAAAACCUGGAGCCCAUGUGACUGUGAAGAAGCUAUUUGUUGGCGGAAUUAAAGAAGACACCGAGGAGCAUCACCUUAGAGAUUACUUUGAAGAAUAUGGGAAAAUUGAUACUAUUGAAAUAAUUACUGAUAGGCAAUCUGGAAAGAAAAGAGGCUUUGGCUUUGUUACCUUUGAUGACCAUGAUCCUGUGGAUAAAAUUGUAUUGCAAAAAUACCACACCAUUAAUGGUCAUAAUGCAGAAGUAAGAAAAGCACUGUCAAGACAAGAAAUGCAGGAAGUCCAGAGUUCUAGGAGUGGAAGAGGAGGGAACUUUGGUUUUGGAGAUUCCCGUGGUGGUGGUGGAAAUUUUGGACCAGGACCAGGAAGUAACUUUAGGGGAGGAUCUGAUGGAUAUGGAAGUGGACGUGGAUUUGGGGACGGCUACAAUGGAUAUGGAGGCGGACCUGGAGGUGGCAAUUUUGGAGGUAGCCCUGGUUAUGGAGGAGGAAGAGGAGGAUAUGGUGGUGGAGGACCUGGAUAUGGCAACCAGGGUGGGGGCUACGGAGGUGGUUAUGACAACUAUGGAGGAGGAAAUUAUGGAAGUGGAAAUUACAAUGAUUUUGGAAAUUAUAACCAGCAACCUUCUAACUAUGGUCCAAUGAAGAGUGGAAACUUUGGUGGUAGCAGGAACAUGGGGGGACCAUAUGGUGGAGGAAACUAUGGUCCAGGAGGCAGUGGAGGAAGUGGGGGUUAUGGUGGGAGGAGCCGAUACUGAGCUUCUUCCUUCUUGCCAUGGGCUUCACUGUAUAAAUAGGAGAGGAUGAGAGCCCAGAGGUAACAGAACAGCUUCAGGUUAUCGAAAUAACAAUGUUAAGGAAACUCUUAUCUCAGUCAUGCAUAAAUAUGCAGUGAUAUGACAGAAGACACCAGAGCAGAUGCAGAGAGCCAUUUUGUGAAUGGAUUGGAUUAUUUAAUAACAUUACCUUACUGUGGAGGAAGGAUUGUAAAAAAAAUGCCUUUGAGACAGUUUCUUAGCUUUUUAAUUGUUGUUUCUUUCUAGUGGUCUUUGUAAGAGUGUAGAAGCAUUCCUUCUUUGAUAAUGUUAAAUUUGUAAGUUUCAGGUGACAUGUGAAACCUUUUUUAAGAUUUUUCUCAAAGUUUUGAAAAGCUAUUAGCCAGGAUCAUGGUGUAAUAAGACAUAACGUUUUUCCUUUAAAAAUUUUAAGUGCGUGUGUAGAGUUAAGAAGCUGUUGUACAUUUAUGAUUUAAUAAAAUAAUUCUAAAGGAAAUUGUGUAAUUAUAGACUUUUUAUUUUAAAUAAGUUAAGGAGUGGGUAGUAUAAUUAAGGUCCAUUGCAAAGCUGUUGUUGUAUUUGUGUAAGAUAAAUGCUGGUCAGAUGUAAGUGUGUUGUCUGCAAUUCAUGAGGAAUAAAUUAUCUAGAUAACUUAAGGGAUAUCUCUGCAAGGAGAAACACCUUUUUAGAUCUUUUAGAUGCUGCUUCUUCAAUGCAAGGAAAGGAAAUAACCCCAGCGAGGUACUCUUCAGGGACACAGGUCUAGUACAAGAGAACUCUUGACGGCUACUAAGUUCAGCCAGUCUUAAAAAACUGUGCUGUUUCUACAAAGCUUUAACUACAGUAGUUGAUAAGGAUGCCAACGAAAGCUGAGGGUGUAGAGCAAAAUAGUUCUAAGCUUCAGUUAAACUUCUUUAGCAUUGAUAUGAACCAUGGACAAGUAUAUUCUGCUGCUACAAAGACUAAAGUGCUUCAUUUCAACAGCUGAGGCAAGCCAAGUGAUCAUUAAUAAAGGUUUUCUUGCUUCCUUCAGUGGUGUUGGUAGUAAAUGGAAGGUGUCUUGCUGCAGGUAACUAAUGAAGAAGUGGUCAACCACAGAAUCUUCAAGAAAUAAGAAAUUCUGUACCAUCUGAAAGUAGUUCUUGUUGGUGCCUUCAUUUAAGAAGCACUAAGAUAAAAGGGAAAUGUUUCUGAUAAAAAAAUUCAUUUAGUACAGGUUCUUGCUGAAGUAAUUAUAAAAUGAGUGCUGUUUGUAAAUAACAUCAAAUAAGAGAGAAUGUAUCAUGUUUCAGCUAGGAUUUGUUAGACAGAUUAAAGUUCUAUUUUACAUACAAGUUUUAUAAAAUAAAUAACUUUUGUAUCUAAAUAAUUUGGUGUAAUGCUUACACAUAAAGUGUGAAUCAUGUUUUAUAAAGUCAGUUGCCUACAAGAUUGCCAUCUUGAAAUUUUAAAACAGUUUUUCCAGAAAGCUAUACAUAGUAACACCUUUUAUUAGUAGACAAAUGAGAAAGGCAUUGUGGACAUUAUUGGCUGUCCCUAAUAAAAUGCUCUUCAUUAUGUACUGUA